rnacentral:rRNA from 1 species
ACGAACGCUGGCGGCGUGGAUAAGACAUGCAAGUCGAACGGGAGAAUUGCUAGCUUGCUAAUAAUUCUCUAGUGGCGCACGGGUGAGUAACACGUGAGUAACCUGCCUCUUAGUGGGGGAUAGCCCUGGGAAACCGGGAUUAAUACCGCAUACGAUUGAAAGAUCAACGCAGCAAUGCGCUAGGAGAUGGGCUCGCGGCCUAUUAGUUAGUUGGUGAGGUAACGGCUCACCAAGGCGAUGACGGGUAGCCGGUCUGAGAGGAUGUCCGGCCACACUGGAACUGAGACACGGUCCAGACACCUACGGGUGGCAGCAGUCGAGAAUCAUUCACAAUGGGGGCAACCCUGAUGGUGCGACGCCGCGUGGGGGAAUGAAGGUCUUCGGAUUGUAAACCCCUGUCAUGUGGGAGCAAAUUAAAAAGAUAGUACCACAAGAGGAAGAGACGGCUAACUCUGUGCCAGCAGCCGCGGUAAUACAGAGGUCUCAAGCGUUGUUCGGAAUCACUGGGCGUAAAGCGUGCGUAGGCUGUUUCGUAAGUCGUGUGUGAAAGGCAGGGGCUCAACCCCUGGAUUGCACAUGAUACUGCGAGACUAGAGUAAUGGAGGGGGAACCGGAAUUCUCGGUGUAGCAGUGAAAUGCGUAGAUAUCGAGAGGAACACUCGUGGCGAAGGCGGGUUCCUGGACAUUAACUGACGCUGAGGCACGAAGGCCAGGGGAGCGAAAGGGAUUAGAUACCCCUGUAGUCCUGGCAGUAAACGGUGCACGCUUGGUGUGCGGGGAAUCGACCCCCUGCGUGCCGGAGCUAACGCGUUAAGCGUGCCGCCUGGGGAGUACGGUCGCAAGAUUAAAACUCAAAGAAAUUGACGGGGACCCGCACAAGCGGUGGAGUAUGUGGCUUAAUUCGAUGCAACGCGAAGAACCUUACCUGGGCUUGACAUGUAAUGAACAACAUGUGAAAGCAUGCGACUCUUCGGAGGCGUUACACAGGUGCUGCAUGGCCGUCGUCAGCUCGUGUCGUGAGAUGUUUGGUUAAGUCCAGCAACGAGCGCAACCCCUGUUGCCAGUUACCAGCACGUCAAGGUGGGGACUCUGGCGAGACUGCCCAGAUCAACUGGGAGGAAGGUGGGGACGACGUCAGGUCAGUAUGGCCCUUAUGCCCAGGGCUGCACACGUACUACAAUGCCCAGUACAGAGGGGGCCGAAGCCGCGAGGCGGAGGAAAUCCUGAAAACUGGGCCCAGUUCGGACUGUAGGCUGCAACCCGCCUACACGAAGCCGGAAUCGCUAGUAAUGGCGCAUCAGCUACGGCGCCGUGAAUACGUUCCCGGGUCUUGUACACACCGCCCGUCACAUCAUGGAAGCCGGUCGCACCCGAAGUAUCUGAAGCCAACCGCAAGGAGGCAGGGUCCUAAGGUGAGACUGGUAACUGGGAUG